AUUGAACGCUGGCGGCAGGCCUAACACAUGCAAGUCGAACGAGUGGCGGACGGGUGAGUAAUGUCUGUGAAACUGCCUGAUGGAGGGGGAUAACUACUGGAAACGGUAGCUACUACCGCAUACCAUCAGAUGUGCCCAGAUGGGAGUAGCUUGUUGGUGGGGUAACGGCACACAAGGGCGACGAUCCCUAGCUGGCCUGAGAGGGUGACCGGCCACACUGGAAAUGAGACACGGUCCAGACUCCUACGGGAGGCAGCAGUGGGGAAUAUUGCACAAUGGGCGAAAGCCGGACGCAGCAAUGCCGCGUGGAUGAAGAAGGUUGUCGGGUUGUAAAGUACUUUCGGCGGGGAGGCGGUACCCAAAGAGGAAGCACCGGCUAACUCCGUGCCAGCAGCCGCGGUAAUUC
rnacentral:rRNA from 1 species